GACGAACGCUGGCGGCGUGCUUAACACAUGCAAGUCGAACGGAAAGGCCCUGCUUUUGUGGGUUGCUCGAGUGGCGAACGGGUGAGUAACACGUGAGUAACCUGCCCUUGACUUUGGGAUAACUUCAGGAAACUGGGGCUAAUACCGGAUAGGAGCUCCUGCUGCAUGGUGGGGGUUGGAAAGUUUCGGCGGUUGGGGAUGGACUCGCGGCUUAUCAGCUUGUUGGUGGGGUAGUGGCUUACCAAGGCUUUGACGGGUAGCCGGCCUGAGAGGGUGACCGGCCACAUUGGGACUGAGAUACGGCCGAGACUCCUACGGGAGGCAGCAGUGGGGAAUAUUGCACAAUGGGCGGAAGCCUGAUGCAGCAACGCCGCGUGCGGGAUGACGGCCUUCGGGUUGUAAACCGCUUUCGCCUGUGACGAAGCGUGAGUGACGGUAAUGGGUAAAGAAGCACCGGCUAACUACGUG
rnacentral:rRNA from 1 species